UCAGGCCUAACACAUGCAAGUCGAGCGAUGAAGCACCUUCGGGUGUGGAUUAGCGGCGAACGGGUGAGGAACACGUGAGGAAUCUGCCUUCCACUCUGGGAUAACUCCGGGAAACCGGGGCUAAUACCGGAUACUUUCAACUGGCGGCAUCGCCGGUUGAAGAAAGUUUUUCGGUGGAAGAUGACCUCGCGGCCUAUCAGCUUGUUGGUGAGGUAAUGGCUCACCAAGGCGACGACGGGUAGCCGGCCUGAGAGGGCGACCGGCCACACUGGGACUGAGACACGGCCCAGACUCCUACGGGACGCAGCAGUGGGGAAUAUUUGGCAAGAGAGGAAACUCUGACCCAGCGACGCCGCGUGAGG
rnacentral:rRNA from 1 species